rnacentral:rRNA from 1 species
UACGUAGGGGGCUAGCGUUGUCCGGAAUCAUUGGGCGUAAAGAGCGUGUAGGCGGCCCGGUAAGUCCGCUGUAAAAGUCAAAGGCUCAACCUUUGAAUGUCAGUGGAUACUGCCGGGCUAGAGUCCGGAAGAGGCGAGUGGAACUCCUGGUGUAGCGGUGGAAUGCGCAGAUAUCAGGAAGAACACCAACGGCGAAGGCAGCUCGCUGGGACGGUACUGACGCUGAGACGCGAAAGCGUGGGGGAGCGAACAGG